GGAGAUUGCCUUUGCUGGUGUUUUCUGAGCGAGCCCAGGAUAGGGGAAACAGAGUGGUUCAGUGGAGACUGGUUUCUGACUUUCUUCUUGCUGUGCUGGAAAACACUGAAUAUAAGCAUUCUCUUCUGAAAUUUCACCAACACAAACUGCCACAUGCUACCAAGUUCUUAAGCAUUCGUACUGCCCAGGAAGAUUUCAGGCAUAUCUGACAGACCUCAGCUAUUUGUGAUUUUAUUCAAUUCUUACUCUGGAAACAUUGCUGAUGUUGGAUCUACUUCUCAAAAAACAUUCAGCUUCAACAGUCUGGGCUUAUAGCAUAUCAACAUCAACAGUUAUAACUGGAUCUUGCUUGCAAUCUGCAAAACUAACUGAAUUCAAGGAAUGCCAUAGAUUCAACUACUAGCUUUAGAGAUAUUUUUCUGUUGCCAUUACACCACCUGUCUGCUUAUCUCCAAGAUCAGCACGGAAAUCAGAGUGCCAUACAGAUUCAGAAACGUGCUGAGAUGCAAACUGAGGCCUGUUAUCUGAAAUAAUGGGACAUCAAGAACUCCGUUUUCCAAAAGCAGACAUCAUUGUCUCAAUGAUGUCUAUAGGCAUACACAGAGAACUAAGUCAGUUUGCAUGGAGGAGAGAUCAUCUGCAACAGCAGAAUUACAUGGAGCCUUUUAAACUAGAUCAGAUCGUUUGUUAUCAGGCUCUACAGCCUGUGAAGCAGAUGCAUGGAAAGUCACGCUAGACAAACUUUUUUUCAUCUUACAUUUGUUACAUACUCUUAACAGAGUCUGCAUCUGCCUACUCAGUUUUUGCCAUGUGCAAGCCAUCUGAUAUCCACCCACCCAAAGCAUCCAAUGAUUUCUUUUUCUCCCAAUUGGAGCAGUGAUUGCAAUUCCACAAUGUUGCCACAGAGGUCAGUCAUAUCGCUUUCAACUCAAGCGGAUCUUGCACUGUGAAAGGAGAUAAACACCUGUCAAGCCCCAUAGGAGGAGAGAGACUGGGGAUACAUUACCCUCUGCACAAACAUUUCCCAUACAGAAGCAGCUGCGAAUCAAAUUAACAAGGAGCACACGCAUCAAGGUAUGCUCCAGACUAAGAGCUUGUUCCCUGUCACUCCCUAAGUAUCAUAACUUCAAGGAAUCUUUUUAAGGCUUAUGCUUGCAACAGUAAAACUCUUUGGGUUUAGCUAAGUUGAGAAAUGCUGUCAGCUGAAAUUUGCUUAACAUACAUUUUGGUGUGGACUUUAGGGCAUUUGAUGUGCUGCUGUCCAAAUUCAUGCUUCCUCCUCUGGGCCGGCUUUAGAAGGCGCUUCAGAAACAGACACAAAUGAGGUCAGACAUGCAGUCUGUAAUACCAGACAGAGAGACACAUUUGAUUUAAAAGUAAGAAAUGACUCCUCUGAUCUAACAGUCUUAGCAAAAAGCCUUCUGACUUCUAAUACUCUGAGUGUCUGGAAAAUACUCAUUGUUAAGAAGCAGACUACCAAUGAGAACCAUAAAUGCGUACAAGUUUGCCAAUAGGGUUCUGUUUUGUUCUGAUAGCCAUUGUCUCCUGAGGGUUCUGAGACUUUUACAGCUAUCCCAGACAGGAAGCAUGAGAAGAAAGGCUGACGGCCCAAGAGGAGCACAGAAGCAUCAUUUUACCUCACACAGCUCAGAGGAGCACAAUCAGAU